rnacentral:rRNA from 1 species
GAUGAACGCUGGCGGCGUGCCUAAUACAUGCAAGUCGAGCGAACGGACGAGAAGCUUGCUUCUCUGACGUUAGCGGCGGACGGGUGAGUAACACGUGGAUAACCUACCUAUAAGACUGGGAUAACUUCGGGGAACCGGAGCUAAUACCGGAUAAUAUAUUGAACCGCAUGGUUCAAAAGUGAAAGACGGUCUUGCUGUCACUUAUAGAUGGAUCCGCGCUGCAUUAGCUAGUUGGUAAGGUAACGGCUUACCAAGGCAACGAUGCAUAGCCGACCUGAGAGGGUGAUCGGCCACACUGGAACUGAGACACGGUCCAGACUCCAACGGGAGGCAGCAGUAGGGAAUCUUCCGCAAUGGGCGAAAGCCUGACGGAGCAACGCCGCGUGAGUGAUGAAGGUCUUCGGAUCGUAAAACUCUGUUAUUAGGGAAGAACAUAUGUGUAAGUAACUAUGCACGUCUUGACGGUACCUAAUCAGAAAGCCACGGCUAACUACGUG